GAGAAUCCCAGGGACGGGGGAGCCUGGUGGGCUGCCGUCUAUGGGGUCGCAAAGAGUCGGACACGACUGCAGUGACUUAGUAGCAUUUCUGUAUCAAAAGAAUAAUAAAGCAGAGCUGAUCAACCCUUUGGUCAAAAUUAAGAGUUAUGGAAGCUAGUUAGAUAGUCUGGAUGAAGCUUCUGUUUUGUGUAUUUUGUUUGGUUCCAUUAUUUUUCACAUCUUCAUAUGGAGGAGUAGUUCCAAAUGGUAACAGUUUUCAGCAGCCUUUUAGCCUUGUAGUCUAAAUGCAGACAUUGUUUGACUCGGAAGCCUACACAAAAACGAGUUACCUUAGCUGUGCAAGUUAAUGCCCUGGCCUCCAACGUGUUAAGUUUUGGCAUAUGUCACAGUUGAGUAUGUUUUAUUAUUGCAUUUAAUAAUAACCAUUAGCAUUUAAUAAUAACCAGUAAUUUAAUAACCAACUUAAAAUGAAACUAGAAUCAGAAUUUGCCAAACCCCUGCAGCAUCCCGGGGUUCCCCGGAGACAGUUCAGGCACCGCUGCACUACGGCAAUCUACCUCAGACACACACUGGGUCUCUAUCGUUGGAGCAGCCUAAGGCAUGGGGGUGUUGAAUGACUGAUGGAGGGCCUCCAGUCUGGGCGUCUCCCCACCCCUUGGAUUGGAUGACGGCUGCCGCGUAGAAGGCAGCCUUCUGUCCCACGUGAGGAGUGGCUUUACGGGUGAAGGAGAUCUCAGCCUUGGCUCUGCAGCCUCUGCCCUCCUCUCUCUGCUGUCUGUGCGUCUCCAUCCUCAGAGAGGGUCGCCCGUCAGGGCCUUCUCUCUCUGGCCUCUGCGUCGGUCUGUUCAGUGCUUGCCUCCGUCCUGUGAAUAUGGGAGUACGAAUGGUCCACGUGGAAAAAUGUCACUUUCUAUUUAUAAAUGAGAGGAAAUAUUUCUACUGUUUAUGCUAGAAGCCCCGAGCCGCGCUUUCAGGCUCUGAGAAUUAUGUCUCUCGGCCGUGGCCUCACUGGCCUCCUGGGCUCUGUCACUGCUCUACCCAAAGCUGCUUUCUUCCCCACCCCCCACCCCCCUUCUGCUUUUCACCACUUCUGGUUGCCUGUACCCUCUCUCCUCGAGUUAAAUGUUUGUGCUUGCAAAGUUUAUUAAUAGCACCAGCACCGCUGAGUGGAAUAGUGAUUUGCUUCCCCUUUUUAAUUUAAUUUAUUUUUGGCUUUUAGUAACAAAUCUGCAAGAAUAUUUCAAGCUGCUCCCUUUUGAGGCAAACUCCAGUUAAUCCAUUUAAGCACAUCUUGGGGGUCAGGCAUUCCCGGAGUACCCUCUCACAGUCGUAGGCAUCGCAGCUCAUCCCCUCUGCGGUAAAUGCCCUGGUGAUCACUGUUCCUCGGAGGGGUUCCAGCUCUGGACCCAUGGUCUGUUCCACUGCACACUCCCCGUCCCCGAGGCUUUUCUAAUAUAACCUACCUACAGACAUGUCACCGCCCAGGGAAAUUUUUUUUCCCAGCUGUGACUUGACAGUGAUAUUAGUGCUGUCUAAACAAUCCAUUGCACGCCUUUCAGCAAACAUCAGAAUGCCAGGCGUGGACGUCAGUUUGCUGGUGGUGGUGGGGUGGAGUGGGGUGAUGGUAGGGUGAUGAUUCUUAGGCGACAAGUCCUUCCCAUACCUGGAGCUUGGGUUAUGAGGUCAGGGUCAUGAUUUCCUACCGAGCCCAUCUGUUGUAGGUGUUGAGUGAUGGGGAUGCUGUUAGGUGCAGUCGGCAGGUGGGAUUGUGGAUCGGUGGCCUUGGCUGGCUUCCCCAGGUGAGCAGUGGGUCCGUGAUGGUGGUUGUGUCUUUCGGCUGGUCGCAUCGUUGGGACCCAUCGGCUGGUCCCAUCGUUGUCUGGCGUGUUGUCUAGCGUCCAGUCUGAAGACCUAAUCACCUCUGCCGGAGCCUCAUCUAGAAGCUUCUCGUGGCCCCUGCAGUCCUCUUGUCUGCUCAAACAGUACCUGGCCCCUCACACCGGUCCUUCUGUCUCAUGUGUCCUAAGAGAGCCAUACUUUUGUCACCUUAGAACAUGGAGAGGUGAUUUUCAAAUGGAAGUGGAGGCGGGGGUAGGUGUGAUUUUGUUUUGUUUUGUUUUGCCUUGAUAGUUGAGCCCCAAGUGGCAGAGAGACCACUUGGAGGUCAGUUGAGAACCAGAGACUCUUGAGUGAGGGGUUGCUCUUGACAUGGCUCUGUCUCCUACCUCUGAACAGCCCAGGGAGUGGACGGCAGCUGCUGGCAAGGAAUUGAUUGCAUUAAUUGAUAUGCCAAUAAGAGAGCUUGUUACAUCCGCCAUUGGUUAGGAGGCCAGCUAACAAGUCCACUGAUCAAUGGCACCAAUAAAGAUUUCAUCCAUUAAUGAGCAACAUGGUAAUUAAUGUUAUCCAUAAACCAGUUAGCCUGGCUAGCCAAUGUUCUGGUUUGCGCCAUGAGUGGCAGUGCCAAAAGUGGCCGGGCAAACACCCUGUUCCAUGUGGAGUUCCACGUGGGCCUCCAGGCAGGGUCAUGGGCUGUGUGAGGGAGCCUGAGACCCUGGGAGGUUUGCUCCCAGUGGAGCAAGAAAAGAAGACCUGGAGCAUUGAGAGCCUUGGCUGAGCAGAGAAGGCAGAUGGGGUCGUUGCUGGGCCCCAGGCUGGGCGCAGCUGUGCCUGCCUCGUCCCCAUACCUGCUGGGCGGAGAGUCGGCCACACUUGUCUCUUCUGACUCCUUUGGUCUUAGAGCUUUCCCACGCGAGCCUCUCAGGGGCUGUUAGGGGCGUAAUGGAAUGACUGCACUCCCGGGUCACUCCAGUCCCAGCUGGGCACGCACUCCCCAGGGACACCCCUUGUCAGUGGCUCACACGCAGGGCCCUGUGCUCCUGGAGGGCGGGCCGUGGCCUCUUCUGGGAAAACCAUGGACAAGUGGUGAAGUAAUUAACAUCCCCCCCAACCAACCCCAGCCCCUGCCUCCGUGUUUCACUAGGAAGGAACAUUUUGCUAGAAGAAAGAAGGAAAAACAGAUGAUUUGAAGCUGUGCCUCUUUUCCUGCCCACCCCCCCACCUUGGUUUUUUGAAAUGACAUCAGUGGCUUGUUUGCCAAGCAUAACCUGGCAGCCUGGCGGCUCUGCCUGACUGCCUGAGAUUUCUGGGGACCGUGCAGCUCGCCAGCUCCAGCCGUGGCAGCGUGCCAAGGUGACGUUCUGUGACUAAGCAGAAACGAGGGAGAGGGAGAGAGGGAGGAAGAAGGUAUGUGUGGUUGGGGAGCCGGGGGAGAGAGUGGUCCCGGGGCGGGUUGCUGUGGGGAGAUGUAGAGGCACGUGCGGGGGCAUCCGAUCAGGAGGGCGGGUGUUGGGGGAGCGCACUGGCAGGGACUGUCCCUGUGGCCCUGGGUGGAGGCGGGGGAGGGGAGGGCAACAGCCACACAUGCAGCCUGGGUGGUGGCCAGAGGGGUCUGACUUCAGAGGGAAGCGAGUGAGCCAAAGCGAAGGUGACUGCCCCGAGGGCCUGGAACUGCUGAGGAGGAGGCUUAGGGAAGGACUUCUCGGCAUCAGGCCGAUACUCCUCAGCGGAGUUUCCUCUGCAUUGUUAGGUAUUGACCCUCCAAGACCCCUUGUGGAUUCCCUAAUUGAAAAUUAAUACUAGAUCAAUGCCAUGGGCAAUUUGCAUAUUGAUCAUAAACAACUUUGAAGGCAGCGAGUGUGCUGCAGAUCAAUAGGGCCCCUGAACAGGCUGCAGAGGGAGCGCCUCCCAGUACAAUGCACUCCGAGAGGUUAAUGAUUCGGGAAGUUCCUCACCGCUCAGCACGGGGAGCGGCCCCACACCACACAGCGUCGUUGGCCAGAGCAAUUAGUCGGGGCCUGGGCCGCCCCCCCGCCCCAAGCCACCCGGUCCCCAGCAGAGGGGAAGAUGGCUGAGCUGGUGCGAGACAAGGGCUGGCCACGAGUGUUUUUAUGGUUGCCUUUUUUGGUGAUGGAUGAAGUCUUGGGGCAGUUUAUUCUGGGAAGUGUACUGUAAAAGGCAGCAGCCAAGUGAAGGCUCCAGUCAUUAUUCUGGCCCCUUCCCCAAAACACAGUUCUCCGCAAGACUUGAACAGAAUGACCUGAGGAGGGGGCUCUCUCCGCCCAGCCUCCUCCUCCAUCUUCCCAUUCCUGGAAGCCUGAGUUAGUGCUCACUUUAGGCAGUGAUGUGCUUGGCCCCAUUUUGCAUCCUGUUCCGUUCACCUCCCAGUUUCUGGCUUUGGGCUCCUCGCCCACUACUUACCUCCAUCCCCUGCCUCGAGUCUUCUUGUCCUGCUCUGGCAUCACGUCUUGCCUUUCUGGUCCGUCCCCGGGUGCCCUGUGGGUCCCCAGCAGGCCUGGAGGGUGCUCCUCCAGGUGGGCCCCCGUCACCUGUCCCCUGUUCGCUUCUUUUGUUUUCCUCUCUUCUCCCUCUGGCCCGUAUCCGGCUCCUCUUGUCUCCUGGCCAUAGAAGCAGAGUGUGGACGGGUAUCCUGUGGGUGCUGAGGAUCCCCCAUUAGCAUUUACAGCAAAGCUCAGAACACCUGAGAGCCCGACUACUGAUUCUCUCUUCACACUCCCGGGGUACUUUGAGAAGGCUGGUCUGAGGAUCGGGGCCAAAGGCAACCUGCAAAGACGGGUGAUGGCUGUCUGCCUGGACCUGGCUACCUGGCUCCAGCCCCAAGACAGUGGAGGGUGGUGGUGCGGGUGGUGGUCACUAGGGGGAGACACCUCCUAUGGAGUGGUGAGGGGAGCAGACUUUCUUCCACAACAGCCCUGCUCCCACCCCCCACCCCAGCCCCCCAGAUUCAUCUAGUACUGAGAAGAGCUAGCAUUAUAAUAGCAGUCCUGUCAAGGUGGCAGAGCUUUAGAUGGCUAUUAAGUUUGCAAAAUGCAUCGAAAUUCAUGGAUGUGGAGGGGCAACGCAGUUUCAGAGAAGGGGCAUGCCAAAUGGUGGGUGUCAAAUUUGCAGGUUGGCGCUGCAGCCCUUCUGAGCCUUGAGCCCUUCACCCAGUGCUGUUCCUUCACCUUCGCAGGGAGGUGCUCUGGCCCACGCUGGUGUGGUGGGUACCCCUGGUGUACGGCUGUCGGGCCCGCCCUCGUGCUGCUGCAUAAGGGAUGGUCAGUGUUCCCUUUCUCUUUGUGGCAUUGCCCCACCGCAAGGUCAGCUCCUCCCCACUCCUCAGGAAGGGAAAGGCUCAAGGAGAUUUUAUCUCUGUCUGCACUUAUAUAUUAUACAUACACAUAUAGAAAUACGGUAGCUUUUCUGCUGGGAAUCCCUCUCAGGGCAGCGGUCAAGCUGUAUGCACAGCCCUCUGCUCUGCUGAAGGGGAUGAGCGAGGACCCAGGCCACCACAGAUUCGACCCAACAAGCAAGACAGCGAGUCCAGCGUCUUAUCUGCCCAGAGGGAGGGGUACCGGGGGGGCGGCUUUGUUCUGAUUUUCACAUGAGUACCUCAUGUGUUCGCAGUGCCUCUGGUCUUGUUCACAGCUGUAUCCAGUGCCCAGAACAGGUGCUCUGUGGAUGUGUGGUGGGUCGGUGGGUGGGCAGAUGGCACAAGUGUAGCUUCUUCAGGGAAGCCCAGUUAGUCUCAGCUCUGUGACCUUUGCCAGGUCUUCCACCUUGCUGAGCCUCAGUUUCCUCAUCUGGGAAAUGGGGGUAGUAACUGUAUCUGCUUUGGUUGAGCGAUGACUGUCCCGCUGCCAUUAUGAUGAUUGUUAGAUAAUAACGACGAGCACAUGGGAGCUUUCAGAGGUGGCUGUUGUUGGUUUCCACGCUCAGGCUCUUUGCAGUGAAGGGUUUUAUCCAGGCAGCAGAAUAGGAAAGCAGCUGGCAUGCUGUGCCGAUCAUUCCCAUUUGGCUAGUCCCUUCCUCCUCCUCCUUCCAGUCAGGGCCCUUGUGAUCAUGUCACAGAAGAUGUCAUCCUGGCCAGGGGUUCCUGGGGCAGGAUGGGGGUGACCUGACGUGGAGCCCGGGAGCCCACGGGGUGGGGUGGGUGGAGGGUCAGGGGAGACGGGAGGGCCCACGUCAACUAGACUCGGGACCAGGUGUGGCUGCAGCCCCACAGCCUGGUGGCAGGUGCCAGGCCAUCCCCGUGCAUGUGAUUCCUUCAUUACGGAGCCUUUCAUUGACUCGGCCACACUGUGCUGAUGAACUGAGUCUGGGGACAAGAGCGCAUAAUUGGCGGAAAUAAAUUCCCAUCACAGGCCUGGCUACAGCCAGAAGUGAGUGUCCACCUGUGUGUGUGCGCGUGCGUGUGUGUAUGGGGGUGGGUGGGCAGGUGUUCACUUUCUUCCCUGGAUGCGCCCCCCGCCCUCCUUCCCUUCCAGAACCUUCCCGGCACUGCCUGUGGGCCCAGUGGGCGGCCCUGCCUCUGUGUCCCCUGCCUGGAGCCUCUGGCGUCCUGUGCCGCAGUCACUGCAUCACCCUGAGGGGCGCGAGCCUGCCGGGGGGUGGGGAGUGGGGGGGGUGCGCCUGUUCACACACCCGCGGGCCUGCCCGGGGGCUGGGGGGGCGCCUGUUCACACACCUGUCCUUUCUCUCGUUCAAUCCAUCUCCCUUCAUCCGUUUGUUUGUUCACCUUCAGCGCUGUCUGCGCUCUCUGCUUAGAUCUCCGUGAAGACAGCGAGCAGGGAGCUAUGGGCCUGCCCUUCUUAAUUGAAAUCGCAUUUCAUUCAUCUGGGAAAUGAGGCAGAGGCGGGGGCGGGGCGCUUUUCCACCGGCAGCCGAUUCGACAGGAGGCCAGGCUUGAAGAUAAGCAGCCCACGAACACACAGCACAUCUUGGAAAAGAAUUUAGGAACUAGAGCCAUUUGCAUAAAACUAAACUAAAAACCACAUAACCAGCCACGUGGUUUUAACCACCACCACAAAAAGAAAAAGUCCUACUGUAAUGCAUUUUCUCAAAACCAGGGAAUUAGUGGCUCAGGUCACCGGGGCAUCUGAAGCUGGUCAUUACUAAUCAGUUGUUUACAGCAAAGAGAUUUUUUUUCAUCUCCCCCAGUGUUUUCUGGGCCUUCAAAAGCAUUUCCUGGAAUCCUGAGUGAAGUCGGACAACUGGAAGUUGCUUGAACCGCUGUGGUGCCACUGUUAGAAUCCAUCUUCCUCAGCAUCACAGCUUUCGUUGAGGAAGGUUCCCAAGGAGCCCGCUGCCCACUCCUUCUCAUGUCUGGCUGUGCAAGGGUCGUCAUGGCCGCUUGUCCCCUGUGGCUGCUGCCCCCACGCCUCACCUGGAGACCCUAGUUUGGUCUGCUUCACUGAGUGGUCUUGGAGCCCUUCCCUUCUCCAGGUCCUGGUCUCCUACUUUGUAGAACUGAGGUGCUGCAGCUCCUCCAGAUCCCUCCAAGGAAAGGCAGGUCCUUCUGAUGACUGGGUUGCUGCAAACGCCAUUAUUUCUCUUUCUUGAACCUGUUUUUACCGUUUUCGUGCUUUUAUGCCUUCUCUUGUUUGGACUCCCCACCUAUCUUAUAUUUUACACAUUUACAUUUAUAUCCUUUUAGAAUUUCUAAAACACAAAUUUUUUUAAUUUAACCACCUUAAUGGUAUCGAAAUAAAUUUUACACACC